UGCCUGGUGACAUCGCCGCACUC
rnacentral:miRNA from 1 species